rnacentral:rRNA from 1 species
AGCAGCAGCCGCGGUAAAACGUAGGUGGCAAGCGUUGUCCGGAAUUAUUGGGCGUAAAGGGCUCGCAGGCGGUUUCUUAAGUCUGAUGUGAAAGCCCCCGGCUCAACCGGGGAGGGUCAUUGGAAACUGGGAAACUUGAGUGCAGAAGAGGAGAGUGGAAUUCCACGUGUAGCGGUGAAAUGCGUAGAGAUGUGGAGGAACACCAGUGGCGAAGGCGACUCUCUGGUCUGUAACUGACGCUGAGGAGCGAAAGCGUGGGGAGCGGACAGGAUUAGAUACCCCAGUAGUCCCUGUCUCUUAUAC